rnacentral:tRNA from 2 species
AUUUAUAUAGUUUAAGCAAAACCUUACAUUUUCAUUGUAAAAUUAAAACCAAGUUUUUAUAAAUA